CUGUUUGUUUGAUGACAGGAGAUAUUUCGUCUUGCCCUCGUUCACUGCCAGACCCAUUCGUUUUGCUUCCUUGUCCAGCCUGGAGAAAGCAGAACUAACGGCGCGGGUGUUGAGGCCGAUGAUAUCAAUAUCAUCGGCAUACGCCAGCAGCUGUACACUCUUAUAGAAGAUUGUACCUGCUCGAUUAAGUUCUGCAGCUCGAACUAUUUUCUCCAGCAGCAGAUUGAAAAAGUCGCACGAUAGGGAGUCGCCUUGUCUGAAACCUCGUUUGGUAUCGAACGGCUCGGAGAGGUCCUUCCGGAGCUUUUCGUGCCGCUCAACGUCAGUUUACACAGCCGUAUCAGUUUUGCGGGGAUACCAAAUUCAGACAUCGCGGCAUAAAGGCAGCUCCUUUUCGUGCUGUCGAAAGCAGCUUUGAAAUCGACGAAGAGGUGGUGUGUGUCGAUUCUCCUUUCACGGGUCUUUUCCAAGAUUUGGCGCAUGGUGAACGGUUGUUGAUUUACCAGGUCUGAAGCCACACUGAUAGGGUCCAAUCAGCUUGUUGACGGUGGGCUUUAAUCUUUCACACAAUACGCCCGAUAGAACCUUAUAUGCGAUGUUGAGGAGGCUAAUCCCACGGUAGUUGGCGCAGAUUGUGGGUCUCCUUGUUUAUGGAUUGGGCAUAGCACACUUAAAUUCCAGUCGUUGGGCAUGCUUUCGUCCGACCAUAUUUUACAAAGAAGCUGAUGCAUGCUCCUUAUCAGUUCUUCGCCGCCGUGUUUGAAUAGCUCGCCCGGCAAUCCAUCGGCCCCUGCCGCUUUGUUGUUCUUCAGGCGGGUGAUUGCUAUUCGAACUUCUUCAUGGUCGGGUAAUGGAACGUCUGCUCCAUCGUCAUCGAUUGGGGAAUCGGGAUCGCCUUCUCCCGGUGUUGUGCUUUCACUACCAUUCAGCAGGCUGAAGAAGUGUUCCCUCCAUAAUUUAAGUAUGCUCUGGGCAUCAGUAACUAGAUCACCUUUGGGGGUUCUACAAGAGUAUGCUCCGGUCUUGAAACCUUCUGUAAGCCGCCGCAUCUUUUCGUAGAAUUUUCGAGCAUUACCCCUGUCGGCCAGCUUAUCAAGCUGUUCAUACUCACGCAUUUCGGCCUCUUUCUUCUUCUGUCUGCAAAUGCGUCUCGCUUCCCUCUUCAACUCUCGGUAUCUAUCCCAUCCCGCACGUGUUGUGGUCGAUCGUAACGUUGCGAGGUAGGCAGCCUGUUUUCUCUCCGCUGCGACACGGCACUCCUCGUCGUACCAGCUGUUCUUUUUGCACAAAUGCCAAUGGUUUCGGUUGCAGCUGUACGUAAGGAGUUUGAAAUGCCGUCCCACAGUUCCCUUAUACCGAAUUGUUGAUGAGUGCUCUCAGAGAGCAGGAGUGCAAGCCGAGUAGAAAAACGUUCGGCUGUCUGUUGUGAUUGCAGCUUCUCGACGUCGAACCUUCCUUGUGUUUGUUGGCGUGCGUUUUUUGCUGCACAGAGGCGGGUGCGAAUUUUGGCUGCAACAAUAUAGUGGUCCGAGUCGAUGUUAGGACCUCGGAGCGCACGCACAUCUAAAACACUGGAGACGUGUCUUCCGUCUAUCACAACAUGAUCGAUCUGGUUGGUGGUUUUUCGAUCCGGAGACAGCCAGGUAGCUUGAUGUAUCUUCUUAUGCUGGAAUCUAGUACUACAGAUAACCAUAUUUCGGGCCCCGGCGAAGUCGAUCAGCCUCAACCCAUUUGGGGAUGUUUCGUCGUGGAGGCUGAAUUUUCCGAUCGUAGUGCCAAAGAUACCUUCUUUGCCCACCCUGGCGUUAAAGUCGCCAAACACGAUUUUGACAUCGUGGCGGGGGCAUCUCUCAUAAGUGCGCUCCAAGCACUCAUAAAAGGCAUCUUUGGUCACAUCGUCCUUCUCUUCCGUCGGGGCGUGGGCGCAAAUCAGCGAUAUGUUGAAGAACCUCGCUUUGAUGCGGAUUGUGGCUAGACGUUCAUUCACCGCAGUGAAUGAUAGUACUCGGCGACGGAGUCUCUCUCCCACCACGAAUCCAACACCAAACUUGCGCUCCUUUAUAUGGCCACUGUAGUAAAUGUCACAAGGACCUACUUGUCUCUGUCCUUGUCCCGUCCAUCGCAUUUCUUGGACGGCGGUGAUGUCAGCCUUUAUUUUCACGAGGACAUCAACCAGCUGGGCAGCGGCACCUUCCCAAUUAAGGGACCGGACAUUCCAAAUGCAUGCCCUCAAAUCGUAGUCCUUAUUUCGUUUGCCAUGGUCGUCAUCAAAAGGGGGGUCACUCAUCCGAGGCUUGUUGUUCCUUUUCAUUGGGGGUGUUUUUUUACGUGGCGGGUCCCAAACCCAGCGCACAACCCUAUGCAGGGGAUGUUUCGCCUUCUCACGUUAGCUCGCCUUCAAACGGAUAUUUUAGCCUGUCGAGAUGCUCCGUUAGGUAAACAAAAAAUAACCCGAAAAUGUGCGUUGGUGUUAAGCUCCAGUUAUGCAUGCUUGACUUGACCUAGCCAGACUUGAGAACUGUCACAUAAAAGAUCUGUUUAAUGAGCCUUGCAUGUAUUUGAUUACCGAACGCUUGACUUGACUU